rnacentral:rRNA from 1 species
AUGGGAGACGGCACGCUCGUCUUCAUCAGGCCGUGGCGGCCGUUGGCGCACGCGCUCGGUGCAGCCAUGCCAUUCCGCGCGCGCCUCGUCCUUGACGGCGUGCCUGCCUACACCUGGACGCACUCCAUCAUCGAGCGCGUCAUCGGCCGCACUUGCGCGCUGGACGUCAUGGACGAGCGCUCCAUCUUCAUGUCGGAUACGCGCGACAUCGAUCUAUGGGCAUGGACGAGCAGCCCGAGCAGGAUCCCGAAGGUGGUCUGGCUGACCUUCACCUCGCGCGCCGCCAACGGCGUCACCAUCUCCGCGCGGCAGCCGGCACGCUGCCUUCGCGGCGCCACCUUCCGCAUCAUCAUCCAUCUCCUGCGUGUUGAAGACUACACAUCAGCUCCCCUUGACAUGGAGAUGCAGGACGGCCGCCAAAUGCCAUACUCGCCACCAACAUCCGUGUUUCCUACAUGCCAGCGCGGAACCAUCGACGGCCAUGUGCCCGUGUCCACUGACGACGUCGUCAUCCCAGGGGAGUUCGACUCCCGUGGCACCACGACGCCGGGUGCACCCCGGGGCCGCGACAGCGGCGAUGGAGCCUGCCGCGAGCUGCGGCCGCGGCGGCGUGAUGACGAGGGCGAAAACGACGACGACAAGUUGAGUGCGCACGACGACCGGCAUUCUGGGCGCAGGCAUGACGCAGCCGUUCCGCGUCCCCGCUCGCGUUCCCCACGAAGGCGUGACGGGCAGUCAGGGGGUCGGCGCGACAACGGCGGGAGGCGCCACACUACCGAUCCCUCCCCCGCCGUGGGCUGCUUCCGGCAGAUGGGGGUGGUGGUGCUGGCCGAGGCAAAGGGCCGGCGAGUCUUCGGUGGCAAGGAGGCGGAUGCGCGCCUGGCUCUUCGCGCUGUGAUGCUCCGUGAGGCGUCUGAACUGCGUCAACUAAUCGCCCUGCCGGCCGCGUCUGCCACGACUCCAGCGGGGGCCGGCUCGGCGUCUUCGCCGUCCCUGGAGGCUGGCACGCCCACGCCUUUGACCGUGGGGAUGGAAGCCUCGUCCGACGGUGGCGCAUGCAUUGGCGUCGGCCAUGCACUCGAGGCGCUCUGCAUCGACGACACUCCUCCGGGUUUUGGCGCCAUGCCUCCCCUAUCCAGCCUGAAGGCAAUGAACCAUGAUGGUUCCCCUUCCCACUCUCCGAUGGCCAUGACCGACCCGUCACCAGAACGCGACUCCCCUGUGCGCACGCCGGUGGCCACGCCACUGCCGACCUUGGCGCUGCUGGGGCCCUAA